UACGUAGGGUGCAAGCGUUAAUCGGAAUUACUGGGCGUAAAGGGUGCGUAGGCGGUCGUGCAAGUCGGAUGUGAAAUCUCAGGGCUCAACCCUGAAACUGCAUUCGAUACUGCGCGGCUAGAGUGCUGGAGGGGAGACUGGAAUUUACGGUGUAGCAGUGAAAUGCGUAGAUAUCGUAAGGAAGACCAGUGGCGAAGGCGAGUCUCUGGACAGCAACUGACGCUGAGGCACGAAGGCCAGGGGAGCAAACGGG
rnacentral:rRNA from 1 species